rnacentral:rRNA from 1 species
UACGAAGGGGGCUAGCGUUGCUCGGAAUUACUGGGCGUAAAGCGCACGUAGGCGGCUUUCUAAGUCGGGGGUGAAAUCCUGGAGCUCAACUCCAGAACUGCCUUCGAUACUGGAGAGCUCGAGUCCGGGAGAGGUGAGUGGAACUGCGAGUGUAGAGGUGAAAUUCGUAGAUAUUCGCAAGAACACCAGUGGCGAAGGCGGCUCACUGGCCCGGUACUGACGCUGAGGUGACGAAAGCGUGGGGAGCAAACAGG